rnacentral:rRNA from 1 species
UAGGGAAUCUUCCGCAAUGGACGCAAGUCUGACGGAGCAACGCCGCGUGAGUGAAGAAGGAUUUCGGUUCGUAAAACUCUGUUGUUAGAGAAGAACAGCGCAUAGAGUAACUGUUAUGCGUGUGACGGUAUCUAACCAGAAAGCCACGGCUAACUACGUGCCAGCAGCCGCGGUAAUACGUAGGUGGCAAGCGUUGUCCGGAUUUAUUGGGCGUAAAGCGAGCGCAGGCGGUCAAUUAAGUCUGAUGUGAAAGCCCCCGGCUCAACCGGGGAGGGUCAUUGGAAACUGGUUGACUUGAGUGCAGAAGAGGAGAGUGGAAUUCCAUGUGUAGCGGUGAAAUGCGUAGAUAUAUGGAGGAACACCAGUGGUGAAGGCGACUCUCUGGUCUGUAACUGACGCUGAGGCUCGAAAGCGUGGGUAGCAAACAG